AGGGGGCCCACUGCUUGGUCUCUUAUCUAGCAUUAUAUUGCAUGGAUAAAGAAGGGGAACUAAUUCGAAUUGCUUUGGGUGAUAGCUCCAACUCUCUUAGCCACUCAUCGCUCGUGAUAGAGGUCAACUCCUUAAUGGUUUGCAUAAGAAACUCAUCUUCGAGAGCAUCAGAAGGAGCAAUGGGUACCGGUGUCUCUUCUGAUAAAAAUAGUUCAAGGUGAGGGCUCAGGACUCGAAUAUUGAGAUAUAGAAGGAAUCUUGUGUAGGAAUGAUCCUCCAGAGGUGAAGUCGAAUAUUGUACUUGUACUGGGCUGCGCAUCCCAGCAUGUGAAUGAUCAGGUUGCCACUUUAUUUGUUGUACGAGAAGCCUAAUUAAAGUGAAAUGGAUUUACAAUUUUAUUUUGUUCA